rnacentral:rRNA from 1 species
GUGGCGCACGGGUGAGCUAUACACGUGGGAAUCUGCCCAUCUAUGGGGAAUAACUGCGGGAAACUGCAGCUAAUACCGCAUACGCCCUUCGGGGGAAAGGCUUCGGCCGUAGAUGGAUGAGCCCGCGUCCGAUUAGCUAGUUGGUGGGGUAACGGCCUACCAAGGCGACGAUCGGUAGCUGGUCUGAGAGGAUGAUCAGCCACACUGGGACUGAGACACGGCCCAGAUCUUCCAUACCGGGGAGGCGAGACACGUGGGGAAAUAUUGGAACAAAUGGGGGCGAAAGCCUGGUAUCCAGACAAUGCCGCGGCUGGAGGUGGAUGAAGGUCUUUCGGAUUGUGAAAGCCUCUUUCGAACGGGGAAGAUAAAUUGACCGGUACCCGUAGAAGGAAAGGCCCCCGGGCUUAACUUCCGUGGCCAGGCAGCCGCCCGGUAAAUACGGAAAGGGGGGGCUAGCGGUUUGUUUCGGAAUUAACUUGGGGCGGUAAAAGCGUUGCGUAGGCGGCCUUUAUCAAGUCAGAAGGUGAAAAGCCCCGGGGCCUCAACUCCCGGAACUGCUUUUGAAGAACUGGUAGGCUGGGAGUUCGGGAGAGGGUAGUGGAAUUCCCCAGUGUAGAGGUGAAAUUCGUAGAUAUUGGGAAGAACACCGGUGGCGAAGGCGGCUGCCUGGCCCGAAACUGACGCUGAGGCACGAAAGCGUGGGGAGCAAACAGGAUUAGAUACCCUGGUAGUCCACGCCGUAAACGAUGAGUGCUGGACGUUGGGAUACUUAGUAUCGCAGUGUCGUAGCUAACGCGUUAAGCACUCCGCCUGGGGAGUACGGCCGCAAGGUUAAAACUCAAAGGAAUUGACGGGGGGCCCGCACAAGCGGUGGAGCAUGUGGUUUAAUUCGAAGCAACGCGCAGAACCUUACCAGCCCUUGACAUGGACGUCGCGGACCCUAGAGAUGGGGUUUUCGGUUCGGCCGGGACGUCACACAGGUGCUGCAUGGCUGUCGUCAGCUCGUUGUUCGUGAGAUGUUGGGUUAAGUCCCGCCAACGAGCGCAACCCUCAUCCUUAGUUGCCAUUCAGUUAGGCUGGGCACCUCUAGGGAAACUGCCGGUGAUAAGCCGGAGGAAGGUGGGGAUGACGUCAAGUUCCCUCAUGGCCCUUUUAUGGGCUGGGCUACACACGUGCUACAAUGGCGACUACAGUGGGCAGCGACAUCGCGAGGUGAAGCUAAUCUCAAAAAGUCGUCUCAGUUCGGAUUGUACUCUGCAACUCGAGUGCAUGAAGUCGGAAUCGCUAGUAAUCGCGGAACAGCAUGCCGCGGUGAAUACGUUCCCGGGCCUUGUACACACCGCCCGUCACACCAUGGGAGUUGGUUUUACCCGAAGCCGGUGAGCUGACCCGCAAGGGAGGCAGCCGUCCACGGUAAGUCCG